UGCAGUGUGACUGUAAAGUGUUUAACUGUAUGUGAACGUGCUGUAAAGUGAACCAUCCAUAAACAGAUAUUUAUUGUUUUUAGGACAGAGCAAUGCUGAUCAUAGUGAAGUUAUACAUAAUAUCAGUUCAGCACUGCUCCAUAUUCAAGCACUGUUAACGUCUCUUUCCAUUGUGCCUGUUCAUUUGCACUUCAAUGAACACUUGAGCUUAAGUUUAUUAAAACAGUGUUAACAGCCAAUUAGCUGUGAGUAGAGGUGACAGAUUUUUCCCCCUUGCCUUGGAAGACAAAUCCUUGCCAAGAGCAUUUAAUUUUCCAGGUGUGUUAAGCUAUUUUUAUAUGGUGUGGGCACACAGCCUUGCCCACCCUGUAAACAGCAAUGGAGAACAUGUCAGAACAAUAAAAGAAAGACCACCCGAAAUUUGUUUGUUGCUUUAAUUGGCUCAUUAGAAAAUCAGCUUGGUGAGUGCUGAUCAGCCACUUAAUGUAGCCUGUCCUUGUGUUUUUGUUGUAAAAAUGUAAUCUGAACACAGCAUAAAAUGUUGCAGUUUUUGUGCUUCUAUGAAGUAAAUUAGCUUUUUUAGCUGAAACAGCAUCAUCUUAUAUGUAUAUAUGGCCUAAAACAUAACAAGCUGAGGCUUGUUUUGCCUGUUUGUCAAGGACGAGAGCCUUCAGAUAACUACUUCAAAUAAAUAUUUUUCUUGCAUUAUCAUACGACAGAAAAAGCGAGUGAAGGAAAAGCCACACACUUGAAAUAUUGCUCAAUUCCUAUGUUGGCUGAAGAGGUAAAGAUGCCAGAUUAAAACUUUGGCAGGGAAAAACUCUUUUAUCCAUGUGAAAUAAUUGAAAAAAAGAAAAAAAAACCCCACAUUAAAUAUAAAUACCAUUUCCUUACUUUCACAUUGUGUUCUUUUAAGCAUUCUAUCUUCCUUUACCCUCUUCUUCUGCUCAGUUCAACAGUUCAGGGUCAAUCAGCUGGAGCACUCCUUAUCCAAAUCUUCCCAACACCUACUCAUUUUUCUGACCAUGUGUGUGUGGAUUUAAACAUACAGAGAAUCUGUUGUGAUGGAUGAAAGACUAACAGAAAUCUACAGCAACAAAGAAGCGUAAUCCAAAUCUACCAAAAUACCAAACACAUGCUUUAUUGGAGCCGCUUCUCACUUUCAGGAAAGAACUCAAACAACAAUAUUUAUACAUUAGAGGCUUGUUCACUUCAAUGUAAUUUUUUCCCCACAGUUUUGACUCUUAAUUGUGUACAGGUAUUUUACAUGGAAGUAAUAUCCCUGAUUGUGUUGUUUUUAAC
ensembl:lncRNA